UGCACCCUGCACGUCUGGGCUUGAAGACAGAAAUCCACCGUGAGGUGCUCCAAGGAACACUGAUGGGCAGUUUUGUUAAAGUGAUUGAACUCCGUGGGUACAGGAGUACGUGGAGUAAUGAAGGAUAAUGCCCUGUAACCGCUUCCUCUUAGGAAUGCUAGCUUUCACAAUUGUGCAAACGCAUAAGGAAUAAAACUGUUCUUUUGAAAUGAAGAAGAGAACCACCUAGGAGACUAUCACCCUGACCUGAGGACUUCACUAGGGAUUCAGGAAAGAAGACACAGAAAGAAAGCAAUCCUCAAGGAUCAGAAUGGCCAGCAGGAGGCCAUAUGCACCUAAACCAGAUGGAAGAAAAUGGCCCGGGGUGACCAGCUGGCUCUCUUUAUCAAGCUCAGACUCCUCAAGUCCCCGCUUGGAAGAACAGUCACAGAUUCCAUAUACAGG
rnacentral:lncRNA from 1 species